GGGAGAAGUUGAACGGGUCUCACAGACCCGAUUACCAUACAAGGGUUAAAAGCAGUAAAUUAAAAGCAGAAAGACACAGGAAGUUGCCUGUUGUUUUACGAGAAGUUGCUCGUUAAGCGAGAAGUUGCUCGCUAAGUGAGAGUUGCUCACACAAACAAAAAAUUGCUAGCAAUAAAUUUAAAGUGACCUCAGCUGUGCCGCAGCGAAAAUACUAACCUAAAUCCUCCUAGCGUGUAAACCCCUCUGGAAAUCACUGAACAUGAGUCAGAAUAAUUCAAAGACCACAGACAGGUCCGAUAAAAAAUCUAAAGUACCUGUAAAACCAAAAAUUAAUAAAAUACAAAAUAAAGUCUCAAAUAACGGCUCAGUACAACUCCCAUUUCCGGUUACGUGUAACCUACGUCCGCGAAUCGGUGAAGACGUCCAUGAUCACGUAUCCAGAACAUGCGGGAGUGCUUAUGUGACUGACUUUGUUUACAACUUAAGAAGUUCAAUGCAUUCUAAUUUCUUUUCGGAGCCUUAUCCCGAACGAUUAUCGCCAGAAAACAGGAACAUCCUCUGUGUCAGCUGGACCCUCAGCAGAGAAUGAACUCAACAUCCUUUUUGUCCGGUACUCUAUGUCACACACUGUGCCAAAAAAAACGUGUACAGACGCCACUAACAGGUAAUCCCAUGACUGGGAGCCACACUUUUGUUUCUCUCACACUGUUCAACAACAUGAUAACUGCUCACACAAGUGAAGGUCAAACAGUGAUUUUGUCACAUAACUCAGACAUAGGUUAUGACAUAACUACACCAUGUCGUCACAUAGAUCUAACCUACCCUAUCCACUGUACUAUUUCUGCACUUACGUUGCCAGCUGAAUACCAGAAUAUGACAUUGUGG
ensembl:lncRNA